AUUGAACGCUGGCGGCAGGCCUAACACAUGCAAGUAGAGCGGAGCGGCGGACGGGCGAGUAAUGCCUAGGAAGCUGCCUGGUAGGGGGGGAUAACGUCCGGAAACGGGCGAUAAUACCGCAUACUAGCAGAUGAGCCUAGGUCGGAUUAGCUAGUUGGUGGGGUAAAGGCCUACCAAGGCGACGAUCCGUCACUGGUCUGAGAGGAUGAUCAGUCACACUGGAACUGAGACACGGUCCAGACGCCUACGGGAGGCAGCAUUGGAGAAUAUUGGACAAUGGGCGAAAGCCUGAUCCAGCCAUGCCGCGUGUGUGAUGAAGGUCUUCGGAGUGUAAAGCACGUUAAGUUGGGAGGCGUUACCAACAGAAUAAGCACCGGCGAACUUCGUGCCAGCAGCCGCGGUAAUUC
rnacentral:rRNA from 1 species